UGUAGGUUUAGGUUUAGGGAUUUAAGAAUACAUUUAGGUUUUAAGUUUAGGUGAGGGAGUUGAGAUUAAGAUUAGGUGUAGGUUUAGGUUUAGGGAGUUGAGAUUAGGAUUUGGUUUACGUUUAAGUUAGGGAGUUGAGAUUAGGAUUUGGUGUAGGUUUAGGUUUAGGGAUUUGAGAAUACAUUUAGGUUUUAGGUUUUGGUUUAGGUU